UUUCUUAUUAAAAUUUUGCUCCUUACGAAAUUUUAUUUAUAGGACGAAACAAACAUUUGUUUAAAGGGAUGAGGGUUAACGCGUUUAAUUGAAUGAAUUAUAUAUGCUCGUAAUUAAAUGAAGCUGAUAGUAUGAAAUAAUUGUACUUUGUGUAUUACUUGCCUACUUUUCAUGGCCUAUUUCGGAUUUUUAUAUUUUUGGCUUUAUGAACACUGGCGGCGAAGCGAAUAAUUUUUAAAUCCAACUCGUAGUAAUUGUGUGAAAAACAAAAAGCCUCUAUCGAACAAUUAUUUUGCCUCUAGAAAAAUGCCGAGUACUACUUGUUCAGGUUACAGAUGGGAACAUCGCUGAGAAAAGUGUGUAGAGUUACAAGGAGGCCCAUGUUGAAAAAUAAAAAAUCUGUAAAAAUGACUCGUAUCUUCGUUAGGUUGGAAAUUUUUCAGGCUACACUCGUAUGUAUAAUUUAUCUCCUGGGUGAUUAAAAGAACCAUAUUAUAUCAGGGACAGCGUAAAGUCAUUUUGACUUAGUUAUAAAAAUGAUGAGGUUAACUAUUUUUUUUUUUAGUUUAAAAAAUUGAAUGGAGCAACGUAGUUCAGUGGACAAGGUGCAUAUAAGAGAAUAUUCUCCUGUAUAGGUUCGAAUCACGGUCACUGAUUGAGAAGGAUAAAUACAUUAUGCAUCAUGAUUAUAUAUAAAUAUCGGCUUCAACAAACAAUUCCUAGGUCAAAUGGAGUAAUUUUAAGACUAUAAUUUUACUUAUACUUAAUCAGUGCAACUCCAACUGGCACAUGAAAUGAACAUAAAGAAUACUAAUUGACUCAUCAAAUCGAACCAUGUCAAUAUUUGUUCGAGUUAAGACAACACUAUUCUAUAUAAAUGAUUUUAAUCACGAGACAUUUUGUAUAGAUACAUAUUUCCUGUCAUACUUAGAUGCAGGUUGGGAUUUGAAUGUAGUCUGUGUAAUCAUGUUAAUAGAAAUAAUAUAAUGUAGGUAUUAAGAAAUACACUUUGACACUUUGGUGUUGACUGAAAAACUUGUUUUAAUUUUUAUUCCAAUGAUUGCAAUACCAAGAAGUUGUAAAAGUUGAACGCUUCAUUCCAGCGAUUUAUUUUUUUCAAAUUUCAUCAUAUAUUUCAUCAGUUCACAAAUAAUAAUUUUUGUCCCUUCAAUUUUCCUUCUUGUGGAACAUACAAUAUUCUGCGUAUUAUCUUCCUGUAAUACAUGCCCGCAACUUCUAUUAAUCUUUAUUAUCCCUGAGGGAAUAAAUUAUAGUUGAAAAUGUUAGAAUGUGUGUGUCUUAAAAUAGUAGCUUUUGUAAUGUUCACCUUGUAGCAUUAAAAGUUUCAAUUCAGGAUAUCUGUAAUAUUCCUAAUAUUAUAUAUAUUUUUGCUCACAUACACCAUAUAUUGAGGCAUUUUAGUACGUCCACAUAUAAUGGAAUCGUCGAUGAGGAAGACCCAGAUGAGAUACUACUCAUUAAAUGAAAAUACACUUGCCGAAAAAUAUGGUAUCAAUCUCCAGAGUAUAUCCCAACAACGUUUACCAACUCUAAUGUCUGAAAAAAAUUCUAUUUUUUCUAUACCCCAUUAUGGAAAAUGUAAAUUUGGAUUCUCUGGUAGUGGAUUAAGGAAGAACAGCAUAUCCUCUGAAAUCCUUAGUUUAGCGUCAUCUUCAUGGGGCUCAAUUAAUUCUGGGAUGGAGUCUUCAUUUAACAAGAAAUAAAUUGUAGAAUUUAAAUUGAGUGAUUUAAUCUCGUUAAGGGUAUUGAAGCAAUAAUAUUAUACAUAUUUUGGAAUAUUCUCUACUUAUAAUUUUUUCUAGCUGUAUGCUAUAAAAAAUGACAGUUAUCUUGAAAUAUAUAUAUAUAUGUAUGCAAA
rnacentral:lncRNA from 1 species